rnacentral:rRNA from 1 species
GACGUAGGGGGCGAGCGUUGUCCGGAUUCAUUGGGCGUAAAGCGCGCGUAGGCGGCUGCGCAAGUCGGUUGUGAAAUUCCGGGGCUCAACCCCGGAACUGCGUCCGAUACUGCGUGGCUAGAGGUAGGUAGGGGAGAUCGGAAUUCCUGGUGUAGCGGUGAAAUGCGCAGAUAUCAGGAGGAACACCGAUGGCGAAGGCAGCUCGCUGGGGACGUACUGACGCUGAGGCGCGAAAAGCGUGGGGGAGCAAAACAGG